GAUCCUGUAAAAUAAUCAGAAAAGUCUGAUCAAUCUCCUUUAGGAGACCUAAAGUCAGUAACACUCUAGGAGGCCCUCAAACUCCGUUCAGACAGUCUGGUUACCGGGCAGAAGCCGGCCUGACCUUUACCUUUUCACUGUUUCAGAAGAUACAUUAUGGAGAGUAGAGAUAUCCUUAGGCUCCAAAGGAAACUCAUUUCACAAAUGCAUGUGUGCACUCCAGGUUAAGAUAAAUAUUAAGUACAAAGCCCAGCACACCAGACAGCAUCCACCGGACGGACCGUGCUCAGCAGGGCACAUGUGUCCUGUGGCUCUUCCCAUUCUUGCAGCCCUUCUUGCUUACAGUCCCUUCUAAAGCACAUGUCCGGGCCGAUGAAUAUCAUAAUUCUAGAUGAUGGAUUUCAUCUUCGUGUUGGACUGUCUACUCUCUCUGUUGCUGCCAACUCAUUUACACCGAGCACCUGACCUCUUCCACUUAAAACUGGAUAAGUCUUCAUUUUGAUAAAGUUUAAACCAGUUCUCAGCUGCAUUACUGAUUCAAACUAUUCCCCCCAGCACAUAUUCCUAAACUGCAUCUUUAAUGUGCUUCGAGUGCUAGAUCUCAUAAGCACGCCAGUGACGGAGUAUGAAUGCUUCAAAGGACAGUGUCAUCGGGUCAAAAGAAACCCCACUUUGUUCUAGAGACAAAGCUGAGGAGACGGUGUACAGCAAGUCCGUUCCAGCGUGGUUUCUUGGGACUUUAUUUGUUUAAGAAGAACAAGCAUCCCUCAUGCUACCCUGAAGUCAUUGGGAGAGGACACGCAGAGAGGAUACCUCACUCAGGAUGAUCUUUUCUACAGACUGAAAAAGGAUCUUCACCAACCCUAUAUCUGACAAAGAGCUAAUAUCCAGAAUAUAUAAAGAACUCAAAAAGUUAAACACCAGCAAAUCAAGUAAUCCAAUUAAAAAAUGGGUUACAGAGCUAAAUGGAGAAUUCUCAAUAGAGGAAUAUCAAAUGGCAGAGAAACACUUAAAGAAAUGCUCAACGUCCUUAGUCAUCAGGGAAAUGUAAAUCAAAACUAUCCUGAGAUUUCACCUUACACCCAUCAGAAUGGCUAAGAUUAAAAACUCAAGUGAGAACACAUGCUAAAGAGGAUGUGGAGAAAGGGGAACCCUCCUCUGCUGGUGGGAGUGCAAACUUGUACAACCACUUUGGAAAUCAAUCUGGCACUUUCUCAGACAAUUAGGAAUAGUGCUACCUCAAGACCCAGCUAUACCACUCCUAGGCAUAUACCCAAAAGAUGCUCAUGUAUACAACAAGGGCAUUUGCUCAACUAUGUUCAUAACAGCUUUAUUUGUAAUAGCCAGAACUUGGAAACAACCAAGAUGUCCCUCAACUGAAGAAUGUAGACAGAAAUUGUGGCACAUUUACACAAUGGAAUACUACUCAGCAAUUACAAACAAGGAAAUCAUGAAAUUUGCAGGCAAAUGGUGGGAACUAGAAAACAAUGACUAUUUUAAAACAAGGAAUUUACAAGCCCAGCAGAGGUGAUGCACACCUUUAAUGCCAGCACUUGGGAGGCAGAGGCAGGCCGAUUUGUGUAAGUUCUCUGUAAGAGCGAGCUCCUGGACAGCCAGGGCUAUGCAGAGAAACCCUGUCUCAAAAGACCAACCAACCAACCAACAAAUAAUCUCCCCCCCAAAACAACAAAAAAUCC